rnacentral:rRNA from 1 species
UAAAGGAAUUGGCGGGGGAGCACCGCAACGGGAGGAGCGUGCGGUUUAACUGGAUUCAACACCGGAAAACUCACCAGGGAAGACUGUUACAUGAAAGCCAGGCUAAUGACUUUGCUAGAUUUUCAGAGAGGUGGUGCAUGGCCGUCGUCAGUUCGUACCGUAAGGCGUUCUCUUAAGUGAGAUAACGAACGAGACCCUCACCAAUAGUUGCUACUUCACCCUCCGGGGUGGAGGCACACUAUUGGGACCGCUGGCGCUAAGUCAGAGGAAGGAGAGGUCAACGGUAGGUCAGUAUGCCCCGAAUCUCCUGGGCUACACGCGCGCUACAAAGGGCGGGACAAUGGGCUCCGACACCGAAAGGUGACGGUAAUCCCGAAACCCGUCCGUAGUUCGGAUUGAGGGUUGUAACUCACCCUCAUGAAGCUGGAUUCCGUAGUAAUCGCGGAUCAACAAUCCGCGGUGAAUAUGCCCCUGCUCCUUGCACACACCGCCA